GAUUGCAAACCAGUCUCCCUAGAUAUUCAAAGGAGUUGACGGACAAUUUGAUUGAAGACUUUAGCUCCAUGAAACUAGCUGAUUUUAGCGUAACAAAUAAGGUUUUUACUGCGUUGCAACUGGCUCCAGACUGGAAUUUAUAACCAAGACUAAAUAUUCAAGUGCCUAUCUGAAGUACUUAACAACAAGUUGUAUUAAGAUCUUAUGAAGUUAAUACCUACCUACAUAAGAAACUAAAUUGGCAUAUCAUUCUGCUACUGAAUAAUCAAGAAGCAGUUUUUUAGCUAAUAGAAGAGAACCUUAUGCUUGAUAUUUCAGAACACUAAUAAUAAUUGUGAUGUGAUUUAAUAUGAUACUUAAUAAAUACAAAAUACAGCA